AUACGUAGGGGGCGAGCGUUGCCCGGAUUUACUGGGCGUAAAGGGUGAGUAGGCGGUUAUAUAUGUCAGGUGUAAAAAGCUAUGGCUUAACCAUAGUAAGCACUUGAAACUGUAUGACUUGAGUGCAGGAGAGGUAAGCGGAAUUCCUAGUGUAGCGGUGAAAUGCGUAGAUAUUAGGAGGAACACCGGUGGCGAAGGCGGCUUACUGGACUGUAACUGACGCUGAGUCACGAAAGCGUGGGUAGCAAACAGGAUUAGAUACCCUGGUAGUCCACGCCGUAAACGAUGAGUGCUAGGUGUUGGGCAGCAAUGCUCAGUGCCGAAGUAAACACAAUAAGCACUCCGCCUGGGGAGUACGUACGCAAGUAUGAA
rnacentral:rRNA from 1 species